GAUGAACGCUCGCGGCGUGCCUAAUACAUGCAAGUCGAGCGAACAGGUAAGGAGCUUGCUCCUUUGACGUUAGCGGCGGACGGGUGAGUAACACGUGGGUAACCUACCUAUAAGACUGGGAAAACUUCGGGAAACCGGAGCUAACACCGGAUUACAUUUCGAACCGCACUGUUCGAAAGUGCAAGAUGGUGUUGCUCUCCCUUAUAGAUGGACCCGCGCCGUAGUAGCUAGUUGUUAAGGUAACGGCUUCCCAAGGCGACGAUGCGUAGCCGACCUGAGAGGGUGAUCGGCGGCACUGGAACGGAGACAGGGGCGAGAGUCCUACGGGAGGCAGCAGUAGGGAAUCUUACGCAAUGGGCGAAAGCCUGACGGAGCAACGCCGCGUGAGUGAUGAAGGUCUUCGGAUCGUAAAACUCUGUUAUGAGGGAGGAACAUACGUGUAAGUAACUGUGCACGUCUUGACGGUACCUAAUCAGAAAGCCACGGCUAACUACGUG
rnacentral:rRNA from 1 species